CUUGUUUCAGUUAAUUACCCGCUGUCUGCGCUUCAGUAACUCUGAGAUGAGACAGUCUGCUUUCACCUUCUAUUCAUUUCUACACUUGGUUCAUGCCGUUACUCUGUCUAUGCAUUGUGGGAGCACUUGUGCUCAAGAGGCACUGGGUAGUGGCUGGCGUACCAAGCUGGGAGGAUGAGAGAACCAAAGGAGGGGGAGGAAGUGGACUCGAAGGAGACCAUACGCAAGGCACCUCCUCUUCGGUUGUGAGAGUGUCCAGGGGUCGUGGGUGCGGCUAAUGCCUAUAAUUUAUAAUUUCCUGAGCAAUGCACAUGGACGAUAUCUGGAGCGGUCAAGAGGAUGAGCUGAUUUUUGAAAAAAAGUUUGAAGAGGUAUCUACUGCCCUUUUGUUUUGGUGCUCAUUCUUCUUAAACUGCUGAUGCUUGAGGUGGUAUUAGUGUUGUUGAACUGAUAGCCUUGCUAUGAGCUAUUGAUGUGAACCUGCAAUGCAGGAUGUACUGCAGGUGCAUGUCCUUGUGGUACUAUGAGAUUUAUUGGCUGUUUGGAGAUGUACUGAUAUUGUGCCAUGUAUUUUAUUAUCUAUAUGAUUACACAUCAGUUUUACUAUCAAAAUAUGAACUGUAGCAGUCACUAUAUUGGGUCGCUCUUCGGGUCACUUCUGGAUGGUCUUGGUUAGAGUCUUGUUUAGAGUCUGG